UACGGAGGGUGCGAGCGUUGUCCGGAAUCAUUGGGCGUAAAGGGCGCGUAGGUGGCGGGACAAGCGUGCGGUGAAAGCUCGGGGCUCAACCCCGAGUCGGCCGUGCGAACUGUCUUGCUUGAGCACUGUAGAGGCAGGCGGAAUUCCGGGUGUAGCGGUGGAAUGCGUAGAGAUCCGGAAGAACACCGGUGGCGAAGGCGGCCUGCUGGGCAGUUGCUGACACUGAGGCGCGACAGCGUGGGGAGCAAACAGG
rnacentral:rRNA from 2 species